GAUAUAAGCACUAUAAAGAAUCAGAUAAACAGUUUACUGUUCGUGAAGAAAAUCUGUGAAACAAGAGUUCAGAGAUUAAACUCAGGAAAGGAAGUAGAUAGGCUCAAGCUUGCUGCGAACUUCGGAAAACUUUGCACGAUCCCCCUAGACAGUAUUCUUAUGAACAAUGUUGCAUUACAAUUUUUCAUGGAGUAUAUGCAGCAAACUGGGGGACAGGCACAUCUCUUUUUCUGGUUAACCGUGGAAGGAUACAGAGUUACUGCACAGCAGCAGCUCGACGUUUUGCGAAGUGCACAAAAGGAUGGAAAAAGACAGAGCAAUCAAACCAAAGGACUAUUGCGUGCUGCAGCUGUUGGUGUUUAUGAUCAGUAUUUGUCAG